rnacentral:pre_miRNA from 1 species
CAAUCUGAAUGUGCAUUUUCACUGUGUGUCUAUACAACAGUAAAUGCCAUUCAGGUUGAC